UACGUAGGGUGCGAGCGUUAAUCGGAAUUACUGGGCGUAAAGCGUGCGUAGGCGGUUCGUUAAGUGCGUCGUGAAAGCCCCGGGCUCAACCUGGGAAUGGCGAUGGAAACUGGCGGGCUGGAGUAUGGCAGAGGGGGGUGGAAUUCCGCGUGUAGCAGUGAAAUGCGUAGAUAUCUGGAGGAACACCGGUGGCGAAGGCGGCAUUCUGGACCGAUAUUGACGCUGAGGAGCGAAAGCCAGGGGAGCAAACGGG
rnacentral:rRNA from 1 species